CAGCAGCCGCGGUAAUACGUAGGGGGCAAGCGUUAUCCGGAUUUACUGGGUGUAAAGGGAGCGUAUACGGUAAAGCAAGUCUGAAGUGAAAGCCCGGGGCUCAACCCCGGGACUGCUUUGGAAACUGUUUAACUAGAGUGCUGGAGAGGUAAGCGGAAUUCCUAGUGUANCGGUGAAAUGCNUAGAUAUUANGAGGAACACCAGUGGCGAANGCGGCUUACUGGACAGUAACUGACGUUGAGGCUCGAAAGCGUGGGGAGCAAACAGGAUUAGAUACCCUGGUANUCCACGCCGUAAACNAUGAAUACUANGUGUUGGNGGACAAAGUCCUUCGGUGCCNUCNCAAACGCAAUANNUAUUCCACCUGGGGAGU
rnacentral:rRNA from 1 species